UACAGAGGUCUCAAGCGUUGUUCGGAUUCAUUGGGCGUAAAGGGUGCGUAGGUGGCGCGGUAAGUCGGGUGUGAAAUUUCGGAGCUUAACUCCGAAACUGCAUUCGAUACUGCCGUGCUUGAGGACUGGAGAGGAGACUGGAAUUUACGGUGUAGCAGUGAAAUGCGUAGAGAUCGGAAGGAAGACCAGUGGCGAAGGCGGGUCUCUGGACAGUUACUGACACUGAGGCGCGAAGGCCAGGGGAGCAAACGGG
rnacentral:rRNA from 1 species